rnacentral:rRNA from 1 species
AUGAAGCUAUAUGCGGGCGGGUGCCGGCGAGAUGCGCGUCUGGAUUGUGGCGGCGGGACGACGACGGACCGCUUCAGGGAGGUGCCAGGUGUGAGGCUUCCCGACACGCAAAAUGCGACGGUGGACCUUGAUGUGGCUACGUUGGAGGAGUGCCGGGCCAGGUGCCUCGCCGACUGCUCGUGCUUGUCCUACGCCGCCGCCAACAUCCGAGGCGGUGGCAAUCGUAGCGGCUGCGUCAUGUGGGCGGAUGCCAUCGUUGAUCUUCGACUCAUUGUCAGCGAGCAGAGUCUCUACUUGAGGUUGUCCGAAUCAGAAUUUGAUGUAGCAGAUGGCCGUAAGAGGUUUCCUAUUGUACCGGUUGUUGUGGCACCUCUAGCUUCUGCAGCAGCUAUUCUUCUGGUCGUUUUUUUGAUUUGGUGGAGAUGGAGGAGCAGAAUCUUAGGCGCUAUUCCUCAAAAUCUAUCUAUGGGAGCCGUCCCUUCAGUUAAUCUAGCUAAUAUAAAACAUGUCACCAGAAAUUUCUCCGAAAGUAACAUCAUUGGUCAAGGUGGAUUUGGCGUUGUUUAUAAGGGCCAGCUCACUGGCGGAAGAAUGAUUGCUGUUAAGCGGCUUAAACAGUCGGCUCUCACCAGAAAAGGAAAGAAAGAUUUCGCUAGAGAAGUUGAAGUGAUGGCCGGGCUCCGGCACAACAAUCUCGUUCGUCUCCUCGCAUACUGCAAUGAAGGAAAAGAGAGGAUACUAGUUUACGAAUACAUGGAGAACAAGAGCUUGAACGUCUACAUAUUUGGCACACCUAGCCUUCGUACUUCAUUGAACUGGGCAAAGAGACUUCAAAUAAUCCAUGGUAUCGCGCAUGGUAUCUCGUACCUUCACGGUGGAUCAGGCGAGAGUGUAAUCCACAGGGAUCUCAAACCAGGCAAUGUUCUUCUAGACGAUGAAUGGAAGGCUAAGAUAGCAGACUUCGGCACUGCCAAGCUAUUCGCCAUUGAUCAAACAGGGCCUGAUCAGACAGUCAUUGUUUCACCGGGAUAUGCAGCGCCAGAGUAUGAGAGGCAAGGAGAGAUGACGCUAAAAUGUGAUGUCUAUAGCUUUGGAGUUAUCCUCUUGGAGACACUAAGUGGGCAAAGGAAUGGCAGCAUGCAGAGGCUACUUUUGAACGCUUGGGGUCUCUGGGAACAAAACAAGACUAUAGAACUUCUCGACACAGCAAUAUCAUUGCCACUUUCUGAGUCUGAGCCUGAGCUCUUGUCUGAGCUGAAACGAUGCAUCCAGAUUGGACUUCUUUCUGUCCAGGAUAUUCCCAGCGACAGGCCAACCAUGUCUACAAUUGUCGCCAUGCUAACAAGCACUGCUUCGCUGAUUAAUCGGCCGGGAAGGCCGACCAUGGAUAACACGGCUAUGCAUUCAUCCCAUGAGCUUGAAUCCAACCUCUCGAGCCCGAGUACAGAUGAUCUGACAUAA